GACGAACGCUGGCGGCGUGCCUAAAACAUGCAAGUCGAACGGUGUAGCAAUACACAGUGGCGAACGGCGGAGUAAUACAUGAACAACGUGCCCGGAAGACUGGGAUAGUCAGGGGAAACCCUGGGUAAUACCAGAUGUGGCCGAUCUUUGGCAUCUUAGAUCGAUUAAAAGGGUUUUUCGCUUCCGGAGCGGUUCAUGGCCUAUCAGGUAGUUGGUGAGGUAAAGGCUCACCAAGCCGACGACGGGUAGCGGGUCGUGAGAGUAGAUCAGCCACACUGGGACUGAGACACGGCCCAGACUCCUACGGGAGGCAGCAGU
rnacentral:rRNA from 1 species